GUUUGAUGCGCAACCGCAGGAACAUGUUCUUCUUUCCCUGGACAGUCCAGAGCGAAGGGUGAUGCCACGUGCGAUUGAUAUGUUACGCUUGGCCCGGGGAGCCUGCUAUAGCGACAGCCGGCUGAGAAAAAGGUGAAGAGCCGUAUGGCUAACCCCUACCCCCCGGGGCGCUACUUACCAAUUCAUCAAUCCCGGCGAAGAUGCUCAACCGGUAAUGAGUACCUUUGGAGUUAGGUAGAAUGUCACUCGAUGCGCUGUACCACAACCGCGUGACACACAAUUUGCCGGUCUGAUGUUAUAAUCUUUGGUCGUUAAUUAGAUUCGAUUUAAUGUCGGUGCACAUUACUAUUGGCACAGCUUUUUUCUUUCUAGUUGCUGCUCGCACACGGUACUUUAUGAGUAGACAAAUUACGCUUCAUCUUUGAGACCUUUCACUUUUGGUUUUUUAUUGCAGAAGAGCAUAGCGAAUCAAUAGGCAAUAUGUUCAGUGAAAGGAUCACACGCGGUUGAAGCUUAUUGGAAUAAGUUAAUAUAAAUUAGUAUGUUUACAAGAGUGCUCAAAGCGCUCAAGUACUCAACUCGAUGAGAUAAACUGUGCCCUAAUGUCUUCCAGCCAGAAUGACGUUUUGCGUGUUUACUAACAACGGCAUCUAAAGAACAGUUAACAGCAUACAAAAAUAAAGUGCUAAAAACACACUCGAGUGAACAAGCAGCUCACGGUGACUCGCCUACGGGAAUAGGGCGUACAUACACUCGUAGGUGACGAUUGCACAACAGCACCUCGAGCACCUGGACAUCAUCCCACCGUAAUGACCGACCAAGCCGUAGCGUUCGUCGCUUGCUUUGGCGUUGCAAUCUUCUGUCCGGCUCCAGGAGAGGAGUUUGUUUUAAAAGCAUUGAUUUAAUGCGCAUUUCGACACAGCAGGAAAUGGUGGACGAUUUACACCGAAUAAAAGGGAGGAUAGAUUUCGGGUCGGUAAUUAUAGGCCUUCGGGGAGGAUAGAUCUACACCUUCAUCAUAGAGUUUCUUUGGACCGAUCGAUGAAAAAAAAAAACAUUGCCACAAUAAAGCGUUUUACGAUCAUUAAAAGGUGGAAAAAGAGGGAUUUGACACUCUGGCACGCAACUUUUCGGAAGGUGUAGAAACUUUCCUUUCGAGUUGCACUGUACCGUGCCCCAAACCGUGAAGUUAGUUAGUUUGCCUCCGUGUAAUUUAUCAUUUUUUAAAUAGCACAUUUUUGCGGCUUAAUUUCCAAAAUUCCCAACAUUGUUCGUUGCGCUGUAAAUUUUAACGCACCACAAUUAGGAGACAACCAAAAGCAAAAAAAAAGGCCAGCGCAUAAACACGACAAAUCGGCAUCAUUUCCAUUUCUAAUGAAAAAUUUACAAUCAAAUGUUGUUUUGCAUUCCGCCUACCGAGCGGGUGCCCGAAUCAGGAACAGACACAAAACAUUGCCCCUUUAGAAACAACAGUCCGGACCGUGCGUCCAUGAGAAGGAGGAGGAGGAUACGACCUCUUCCUCCCAUUCCGAUGGGGAGGGUAUGCAGCUGUUUGAACCCACUUCGAACAAAAGCUGCAAAAAAAAGCAGAGGAGGCCGCAAAGGCCAACAUUACGUGGACACUCGCGUACACACGGUCCUAUAAUUAUCACAUCGUUGUUAUUCAACUUGAAGAAAAGUCUUAUGUUCCUUUCGAGCCAGGAUUGGGCCAGUCAAAUCCCUUUUACUUUUUUCGGGUUUUUUUUAACUCUUCACCUACAAUUCAACCCAACUCAUCUGCUUCACAAGUGUGUGUUUAGAAGAGGAACCCAUUAAAAAAAAACGGAAAACAACACUCCAGCAGCUUCGCUAGACGAAAAGUUCACAAACUUCCCAAAAUUAAAGCUACUGCUCGGACCGGCUGGCUAGCGGUUGCUUAUCGAGAUGGCCACAUUUAUUCGACAAUUUGGUUGGUAGAGCUAUCGCUGUGCCACUAUCUCGCUAUGUUGAUGAGGUGUUUGGCUUAGCUACUUGUCUUGCGCGUUUUGGCAGUGGUUUGUUUAAUUUACAUACGAAGAUUUUAUGAGGGGGUUCAUAAAAUUGUCAUUUUUUUUCUCAAACAAUGCAAGUGAAAGUAAAAUAACACCUUUGAACACUACAUUUUAUAGUGU